GGUAAUACAGAGGGUGCAAGCGUUAAUCGGAAUUACUGGGCGUAAAGCGCGCGUAGGUGGUUCGUUAAGUUGGAUGUGAAAUCCCCGGGCUCAACCUGGGAACUGCAUCCAAAACUGGCGAGCUAGAGUAUGGUAGAGGGUGGUGGAAUUUCCUGUGUAGCGGUGAAAUGCGUAGAUAUAGGAAGGAACACCAGUGGCGAAGGCGACCACCUGGACUGAUACUGACACUGAGGUGCGAAAGCGUGGGGAGCAAACAGGAUUAG
rnacentral:rRNA from 1 species